rnacentral:rRNA from 1 species
ACGGAAGGCAGCAGUGGGGAAUAUUGCACAAUGGGCGAAAGCCUGAUGCAGCAACGCCGCGUGAGGGAAGACGGUUUUCGGAUUGUAAACCUCUGUCUUGGUGAAGAAUAAUGACAUUAGCCGAGGAGGAAGCCACGGCUAACUACGUGCCAGCAGCCGCGGUAAUACGUAGGUGGCAAGCGUUAUCCGGAAUUACUGGGUGUAAAGGGAGCGCAGGCGGGAAAGCAAGUCAGCGGUGAAAUGUAUGGGCUCAACCCAUGAACUGCCGUUGAAACUGUUUUUCUUGAGUGGAGUAGAGGCAAGCGGAAUUCCGAGUGUAGCGGUGAAAUGCGUAGAUAUUCGGAGGAACACCAGUGGCGAAGGCGGCUUGCUGGGCUCUAACUGACGCUGAGGCUCGAAAGUGUGGGGAGCAAACAGGAUUAGAUACCCUGGUA